ACGUGGCUUGAUUUAAUUGGAAGAAAAUAAAACCCGGCCCCACCCCCUGAAAAUCAGGGGGGAGCAUGGAAAGGAAGCAGGCAAGCCUGAUCCUCCAAUCCCACCUUGAAAUUAGCACUAACCCAAAAUUAACCCUCCCAGAUCUUGGUCUCAGGAAAUCCGCCGGGGCGUCCCUGCCCCAUCCGGCCGCCUCCUCCAUGGCGACUGGCUCCCAUCCGGCCGCCUCCUCCAUGGCGAGAACCGUGUCCAGAGGAGGACGAGCACGACCAUGAGUUCCCCGUCGUCGUCUCUCUCCGUGCUUAACCGGUGUGCCGACACCCCUCCCAAGCUUCGCCUGCUGCUACCCCGACACGGCAGCAUGGAUCUGACGUCUCCCGGCCGUCCCGAAGCGGCGGCCCAUGGGAUCCGAGCGAAGAAGAGGCCUCGCGAUGGCCUUGGUUCUCCUCUUAUGCAGGCUAGAUCUUGUUGGCCUCAACCAGCACCACCAUCAGGAUCCAGGCGAGCAUGCGGCUGCUCCUCCACCGUCAUGUGACGCGUGUAGUGGCCGUUCACCAGGGGAGACUCAGCUCCACGAUCACCACCACUCACUUGAUGUGCAGGUCCACACGCCAUCGACAAGUCGACCCGCGAAAGAAGCUGGCCCUACCGAUCAGGAUGACAUCGAUGAGGAGGAAGCAAUGGUGUGACGUCAUGGAUCCCACCUGUAAGUGCGUGAGUGUGUGGCUACAGUUUUCUACAAUAUUGUGAAAACCACGAUGUGUUUGGCAGUCACAGUAUUUGCCACUAUAUUUGGUGAUCCAGUUAUCAGCAUGUUCAUGUUCUACAACCCUAUCGGCCCCGGGCAAAGAAUCACACACGUUAUCAUAGGCGAGGACUGGUCGUGGCUAUAUGCAAGUGUGGUCGCCGACACCCAGGCAGGCUCAACGUAUAGCAUGCAUACACGGGCUCUUUUCUGAAUACUAUGCACCUUGAAUUCUGUGAGAUAUACACGUACAUUGCUCCCAAGUCAUAUAGAGGUUAAUGCUCAAUCUUUAUUUUAUUUUUAAGAAACUAAUUGGUGAUGCUUUGUACAUAAUAGUCAGGAUCUGGUUCGCAUGACUAUGUUGCCCUGCAUAAAUGAUCUUCACCACUCUCUCUAUACCCUUUUAUAUAUGGGUUUUUAUCAUUUAUGUCACCGGUUGUGUUUCACUACUCAGUUUUGCCACUAGGAAUUUCAACUGCUCAAAAAUGCCAUCGCUUCGUUAGACACAUGCUCAAAAAUGCCACUGGACACCAUUAUUGUGGUCUCAAAUCUCUUUUGCCAUGUUAUAAUGACAUAAAUACCUAUGAACCAACAUGCCAGCUCUCCCUCUAUCUCACUACAAUAAAGUAUGGGGCCCACUUGUUUCCAACAACGUUCUUAUUUUCCUGUAAAAUUAUUCGCUUGGGUACUCCUGACAAGUGGGGCCACACUUAUCAUUGUGAGAUAGAGUGAGCUGACAUGUGGGUCUAGGCUUAUUUUUGUCAUAUAACAUGGUCAACAGGUUUGACGUGAAAAUAACAAUGUCUAAUGGCAUUUUGGAGCAAACAUCUAACGUAAUGAUGGCAUUUUUGAGAUAUCUAAUGGCAUUUUUGAGCAAGCAUCUCACAAAUCGAUGGCAUAUUUGAGUAGCUGUAACUUAUAAUGGCAAAACUGAGUAGUGGGACACAACUAGUGGCAUAAAUGAUAAAAACCCUUUAUAUAUUGUUUGACAUUUGUACUUUUCUAUCUGCAGAUGAGUAAGAGAAGAAAAAUGAAUGUGCUCCUGUUUACAUCAAGAGAAUGUACCCCAUUUAAGGACCUAACAAACACAACUAUGGAUGGUAGUGCUAAUAUCCCACAUAAUCAAACGGACGAUCCUAAAAGGAAAAGUGUUCAAUCAUGGUACGCCAAUGUCGGAUGAGAAGAAAGCAAAAUACAACGCGAAGUGUCAUAUAUCCUGACAACAAACGAGAGUUGCAGCUCUAGACUGUCUAAACCAGGACCAAUUAUCACAAACAUGUGUUUCUCCGUUAGACUGUGCUAUGGUUCAUCUCUACAACAGUUUUCCUAUCUAACAUCAUGUGUAUCUAAGUGCAGCUUCUGGUCAGGCCCCACUUGUUUCUGGCGAUCCCAGUUCCAGUCAAAUGCAAUAGGAUAUGUAAUGCUUAUUUGUCACAUUCAUUCAUUAUGUAAUAACUCUUCUCUCCUGUGACAGUAAUGUGUCACAAAUUCAUCAAAAAAUGUGCCACUCCCUCCUGAUGCUCCCUCAUGGUGCUAGAAAAACUCCCAAGUCAGAAAAUUAUCACGGUUGCUUCAA